UGAGAAAACUGCAGAAAACCAGCUACAGAAUUGGCGCAUUGCUUUCUCGUAAAAUCAAUUUCCCCCCACUGCUUCGCGCUCCUGGCAGGCCGAAUCGAGGACAAGGGACCGAAUGCGGAAGCUUACAAGUCAAUUUGGGGCCUAAAGAGAGACGAAUCAGCUGCCAGUUGGGCUCAUAUCAAAAGGAAUCCGAAUUGGGCUUUUUGUUGGGCUACAUUGCAGCAAGCCCGCACGGUUGGCAGAAAUUCAGUAUGAUGACAAGUGCCAUUAUCAAAUUCUGCCCCUGGCUAAAGUUGCUUAGGCAAACCAUAUACGGGGAUCAUGGCAAAGAACACAUAUGGUAAAAGAAUUUCCUUAAUAUGAAAGCAGGAAGGAUUGUCGCUCUCA
rnacentral:lncRNA from 7 species